rnacentral:lncRNA from 10 species
CAAAGUGCUGGGAUUACAGGCGUGAGCCACCGCGCUCAGCCUGAUGAAUUUUAAUAAAUAUAUUGCAUCCGUGUAGCCACCACCCCAAUAAAGAUAGAGAAAAUUUCCAUUAUCUCUGUGAAUGUUCCUUAGAAUCCUUUUCAAUCAAUCCCCUUUCCCAUGGGCAAUCUCUCUUCUGAUCUCUUCCCUAGAUUAGUUUUGCCUCUUCUAUAGAAAUUCUUACAAAUGGAAUCAUAUAGUUUGCAUUGUUUUGGUCAGCAAAAUGCUUUUGAGAUUCCUUCACAUUGUCAUCACAAUCACUUAAAAGUGAGUAUUUAUUUAAAUUAGUCUCCUAUUAAAACUUUUCAUUGGCUCCCCGUUAUCCAAAUUCCAGGCCCCUGAAUGAUCUGGACUCAUCUCACACACUGCCUACCCUUGAACUUUCACCUUUAGGAAUACUGAGCCAUUUGUUCACCUGCACAAACGUAGCUUUUCAUGGGUUGAGUCCUGCAGCUGGAAUCCCUUAACUCCUACACAGUUUGCCUGGUGCACUCCUACUCAUCCGGCAGCAUUCCGCUCACAUGUAGAUUGUGUGAGGCUUUCUCUGACCUGUUCCCACCCCCAGGACAAAGAGUCUGUCAGCUGCACUAUAAUGGACUGUGUCCACUAUUCUCGACACCCAGAACCCCUGCCCUGCAUCAACUGAAUGGAUUCCUUUCUCGAAAUUCUUCCCGUGGAAGACAGUCAUGCUGCCUACCCAAGAGCCUACCCAAGAAGUACUCCACUGUGCAACUGAACCAUCAGUCUUGUGCAACAAGAAGCAAGACAGGCGGGGCAUGGUGGCUCACACAUGUAAUCCCAGUACUUUGGGAGGCCGAGGUGGGUGGAUCACCUGAGGUCAGGAGUUCGAGACCACCCUGGCCAACAUGGCAAAACCCCAUCUCCUCUACUAAAAAUACAAAAAUUAGCUGGGCGUGCUGGCAGGCUCCUGUAAUCCCAGCUACUCAGGAGGCUGAGGCAGGAGAAUCUUUUGAACCUGGGAGGCGGAGGUUGCAGUGAGCUGAGAUCACGCCAUUGCACUCCAGCCUGGGCAACAGAGCGAGACUCUGCCUGAAAAAAGAAAGAAGAAGAAGGAGAAGGAGAAGG